rnacentral:rRNA from 1 species
GAUGAACGCUGGCGGCGUGCCUAAUACAUGCAAGUCGAGCGAACGGACGAGAAGCUUGCUUCUCUGAUGUUAGCGGCGGACGGGUGAGUAACACGUGGAUAACCUACCUAUAAGACUGGGAUAACUUCGGGAAACCGGAGCUAAUACCGGAUAAUAUUUUGAACCGCAUGGUUCAAAAGUGAAAGACGGUCUUGCUGUCACUUAUAGAUGGAUCCGCGCUGCAUUAGCUAGUUGGUAAGGUAACGGCUUACCAAGGCAACGAGGCAUAGCCGACGUGUGAGGGUGAUCGGCCACACUGGAGCUGAGACGCGGUCCAGACUCCUGAGGGAGGCAGCAGUAGGGAAUCUGCCGCAAUAGGCGAGAGCCUGACGGAGCAACGCCGAGUGAGUGAUGGAGGUCUUCGGAUCGUAAAACUCUGUUAUUAGGGAAGAACAUAUGUGUAAGUAAAUGUGCACAGCGUGACGGUACCUAAUCAGAAAGCAACGGCUAACUACGUG